CUCCCUUUCUCUCUUUUUCUUUCUUCUUCCCUCUUUUUUCUUCCUUCCCGCGCUACCUUCUUCUUUCUUCUUCUCUUUUUCUCUCUUUUUCUUUCUUAUUCUCUCUCCGCUCUCACACCUAGUAUACCCCCCAGCCCCCUCUUCUCUCAGAUGGGAAGAAGAAAAAGAAAAGGAAAAGAGAAGAUAAUAAGAAAAAGAAAAAGAGAAGAGAAGAUCUGAUUUUUUUUUGGCUAGGUUGAAUCCACUUGGGGAAUGGACAUCCUCUACUCUAAUGGCAACAUCGACAGAUACAAUUUUCCAACGCAAGCGAACAUGGGUGACAAUAAAUAAUGCACUAGAAAACACCACAGAACUUCAGGCUAAGUGUGAGUCAAAGGAUGACGAUCUUGGUUUACAUAAUAUCAGCACAGGUGCCAACGUACUACACCUUCACAUUUAGACCAAAUUUGCUUGGGACGACAGCAUUCACGUGUAACUUUUCGUGGGCUAUUCUGAACAAUUACACGUUUCAGAUCUUCGACUAUGACAGGGAUCAUAGAGUUUGCAGCAAAUGCGUUUGGCAUAUUUUGACUACGGGUCCAUGUGAAUAUGACUAUAAAAACAAGACGUAUGAUUUGUGCCAUCCAUGGACCUGAUUGAUUACAAGAGCUCUAGCCGGCUACAAUCUAUCAAUAUUAUAAAUAACUAAUGUUGUAGUUUGCCAUAUAUAUAUAUAUAUAUAUAUAUAUAUAUAUAUCUGUGUGUGUAUAUAUUUGUGGAGACUGUUUGGAAGUCAUUCAAGUAUUUCUCUUAUAAUUGAUUUUUCUUUUUUAUUGUUUGGAUUUGAAUUUUUCAAUGGAAUGCAUGCAUCCAUUGGACAAUGAUGAUAUAGCUUGUAGUUUUGAUGUUCAUGCAUGGCGGCUGAGCCCACAUAGCUGACCAGCCAGUAUUUGGUUUUUAGAUUUA